UCCUACGGGAGGCAGCAGUGAGGAAUAUUGGUCAAUGGGCGCGAGCCUGAACCAGCCAAGUAGCGUGCAGGAUGACGGCCCUAUGGGUUGUAAACUGCUUUUAUGCGGGGAUAAAGUCACCCACGUGUGGGUGUUUGCAGGUACCGCAUGAAUAAGGACCGGCUAAUUCCGUGCCAGCAGCCGCGGUAAUACGGAAGGUCCGGGCGUUAUCCGGAUUUAUUGGGUUUAAAGGGAGCGCAGGCGGCCUUUUAAGCGUGACGUGAAAUGCAGACGCCCAACGUCUGAACUGCGUCGCGAACUGGAGGGCUUGAGUGGGUACGACGCCGGCGGAAUUCGUGGUGUAGCGGUGAAAUGCUUAGAUAUCACGAAGAACCCCGAUUGCGAAGGCAGCCGGCGAGUCCUCAACUGACGCUAAAGCUCGAAAGUGCGGGUAUCGAACAGGAUUAGAUACCCUGGUAGUCC
rnacentral:rRNA from 1 species